GACGAACGCUGGCGGCGUGCCUAAUACAUGCAAGUAGAACGCUGAAGCGAGGAGCUUACUCUUCUUGGAUGAGUUGCGAACGGGUGAGUAACGCGUAGGUAACCUGCCUUGUAGCGGGGGAUAACUAUUGGAAACGAUAGCUAAUACCGCAUAACAAUGGAUGACACAUGUCAUUUAUUUGAAAGGGGCAAUUGCUCCACUACAAGAUGGACCUGCGUUGUAUUAGCUAGUAGGUGAGGUAAUGGCUCACCUAGGCGACGAUACAUAGCCGCCCUGAGAGGGUGAUCGGCCACACUGGGACUGAGACACGGCCCAGAGUCCUACGGGAGGCAGCAGUAGGGCAUCUUCGGCAAUGGGGGCAACCCUGACCGAGCAACGCCGCGUGAGUGAAGAAGGUUUUCGGAUCGUAAAGCUCUGUUGUAAGUCAAGAACGGGUGUGAGAGUGGAAAGUUCACACUGUGACGGUAGCUUACCAGAAAGGGACGGCUAACUACGUG
rnacentral:rRNA from 1 species